GCUGCACGACUCCCUGAGCUCACGAGUCGUCGAUAGUCGUGUAUCGAUUUUUCGCCUAUCGUUAUCAGUCUUAAUGUACACAGCUUUGCUAAAUUCACAAUUUGUACAGAUUUUUGUCGUUUAGCACAUAACAAGUUUUUUUUUUACUUAUAAAGGUUAAGAGCAGCGGUCAGCAGCAACCUAUUAAGCAAGAUUAGGGACAUGUUUUUCCUAUCCGCUGUUUGCUUACGUAUAACGUAGAUCAGCAGUCGGCACACACAUACCAUCACAAAUAAUAUUUGUGGUUUCGCAUUGAGACUUUAAGGAGCGCAAAAUAAAGGUGUUGAUUGCCCGUUUGGUAUUUUCUUAGUAAUUUUAAUAUUUUUUUUGGCUAGUUACCAUAAGAGAAUCUAACAUACCAAUAUAUUGGUAUGACGAAAGCUCAUACCAAGUGUAACAUUUUCAAAAAGCUUGUUAACAGGAUAACUAUUUUGUUAAGAGCUACAUAUUUUUCGGUGACACUGCCCUACCUCAGUCUUGUCAGAGUUUUGGCAGAGUUACCCCUAAUGCCACAGCUCGGAACAUAAAAUAUCGACAACUCCACUCUCUCACAUCACUAAGCUAUCGGUCAUCACAAAGAACAAAACAAAGGUAAUCAUUACAUUUGACAGGAAAAUUCGUUUAAUCAAUGACUUAGCCAAGCGCUCCCACCCAACCAUGUAUGCUGUUAAGAUGCUGCAGUGCACCAUCCAUUCUCUGUUACUCACACGUUGUGGGUUUUACAAAUAUUUAAUCAAGAUGCCUUCGAGAGCAACACCUUGCCACCGUCUUUAAGAUUUACGCGUCAAAUUUGAUUUGUUUUUAGGAAAAGGCUACAGGCACCGCGAAAAGUUAUGCUCUACCAGUCAAGUAUUGAUAGAGCUCGCAUGAAAAUGCUGGCCGGCACUGAGGGCGAUUGUAGCAGGCCUGAGCACUUUUCGUUGGAGGCCAGCGGUCUCUUCAAGAUGGCUAACUGGAGCACUCGGUGGGUCGCCUAAGCUCAAAAAGAAAUGGCUGUAAUUCGUCACGCCGCUGUCGGACGACUAGGAGAUCCCGAGAUGAGGUGGACUUUGUUCUCCGGAACGGACUCACCAGGAAAUUCUGGUCGUCGGCGAGGAUGGCGAAGGCGUUCUCGGCUGGUCUUCUGUGCGUGACACCGGUAGCUGGCAGCCAAAUUGUGGGUAGUAUGUAGAGUAUUGUAGUAGAACUCCCAAGAAUGUAGCGAAACUCUGAAGUAUGUAGUCGAACUCCCAAGUAAAUCUGCCAAGAUGCAGUCUAACUCCCAAGUAAA